CUCUGUAAAUACCUCCCGCUUUUCUGAGAUCUCUGAAAGCAGACGGGUAGAACGAUGCUGUCUACACAACUGAAAUGCAUACAGGAAUAUUUUACAAACAGUCUGUAAUUGGUGAAAACAGCGGACGCACGUGGCCGAUAAGAUUAAAGGGGAAUCAGCAUGCACAAGAACCUCGUUUUUGAUGGCGCUUUUAAACAGAAAAUAGUAAUAAUAAUAAUUUGAAAGUACAGCCGAGCUGCCAGCAAAAUUGAAAGCACACUGCUCGCAUUAUUUCUAAAUGGCAUGCUUUUUUUGUUGUUGUUUCUUUCUUGAAAUUUUAUUAUUUAGAUUUUAUGUUUAUAUGUAGAAAUAGAGUAUAUUUGUCAUUUUUUUGCAUGUGGAAAAGGGACCAGAUUAUCACCUGGAGAUUGUGUGUGUGUGUUUGUUGAUUUUAGCUGUCUAGUUUAUACACUGCCAAGCACCUGGGGGUUUUUGUGUGUUUUUUCCGUCCCUUUAUGUCCACACUGCUCGCACCGGUUUGCUUUUAUGCAUACAGUGAUAUAACAUAAUGCCACCUACAUGCAUACACAAACACACACACACACACACACACACACACACACACACACACACACACAACACAAAUACAGGACUCCAGUCACGUAGGACCGAUCUGUCAGCAUGAAAUGAGCCAGUGAUGAUGUGUGGAGCCACACAAGAUUAUUUUUACCACACACACACACACACACACACACACACCACACGCUCACCCUCCAUUCUGUUCAUAUCUCCCCUCCCCCAUGGCCAUAUGUACAGUCCGUCAUUGGAUUAAACCAGAAGGACUAACUAGGCAUGCUAGUGUAGCUUAAAGAAAUAAGACUGUGUGUGUGUGUGUGUGUGUGUGUGUGUGUGUGUGGGAGCUGAGGAGGUGCCGUCUUUGACAUUCUUAAUCGUUUAUUUCUUUAGAUAUAUAAGGAAGAGUGGCAUAAAAAACCUUGUUCCAAUAAUUUUGCCUGUUAUUUGCAUAGUCAUGGAACAUCCAGACCUCCAGAAACUAUGCUAUUCAAUUAUGCUAGCUAGCUAACCUCUAGCUUCCACGUUAGCUAAUUUCUUUGCUACCUAAUGGCACUCAGACUGGCAUAAAAAUCGGGAAUGGUGGAGAAAAUAAUUCUUGUGAUUUCAUUCUUCCCAUCAGCCAUCUAGUCAUACUCUAAAAAAAUGUAAAGGUCAGUGCUUGCUAACUAACUAAAUGACUAACUAGCUUGAUGUGAAAUGUAUAGCUAUUCAUAGCUGUACUUCAUUU
ensembl:lncRNA